AGAGUUUGAUCCUGGCUCAGGAUGAACGCUGGCGGCGCGCCUAACACAUGCGAGUCGAACGGCACCCAUCUUCGGAUGGAAGCGAGUGGCGAACGGCUGAGUAACACGUGGAGAACCUGCCCCCUCCCCCGGGAUAGCCGCCCGAAAGGACGGGUAAUACCGGAUACCCCGGGGUGCCGCAUGGCACCCCGGCUAAAGCCCCGACGGGAGGGGAUGGCUCCGCGGCCCAUCAGGUAGACGGCGGGGUGACGGCCCACCGUGCCGACAACGGGUAGCCGGGUUGAGAGACCGACCGGCCAGAUUGGGACUGAGACACGGCCCAGACUCCUACGGGAGGCAGCAGUGGGGAAUCUUGCGCAAUGGGGGGAACCCUGACGCAGCGACGCCGCGUGCGGGACGGAGGCCUUCGGGUCGUAAACCGCUUUUCAGCAGGGAAGAGUCAAGACUGUACCUGCAGAAGAAAGCCCCCGGCUAACUACGUGCCAGCAGCCGCGGUAAUACGUAGGGGGCGAGCGUUAUCCGGAUUCAUUGGGCGUAAAGCGCGCGUAGGCGGCCCGGCAGGCCGGGGGUCGAAGCGGGGGGCUCAACCCCCCGAAGCCCCCGGAACCUCCGCGGCUUGGGUCCGGUAGGGGAGGGUGGAACACCCGGUGUAGCGGUGGAAUGCGCAGAUAUCGGGUGGAACACCGGUGGCGAAGGCGGCCCUCUGGGCCGAGACCGACGCUGAGGCGCGAAAGCUGGGGGAGCGAACAGGAUUAGAUACCCUGGUAGUCCCAGCCGUAAACGAUGGACGCUAGGUGUGGGGGGACGAUCCCCCCGUGCCGCAGCCAACGCAUUAAGCGUCCCGCCUGGGGAGUACGGCCGCAAGGCUAAAACUCAAAG
rnacentral:rRNA from 1 species